AUUGAACGCUGGCGGCAUGCCUUACACAUGCAAGUCGAACGGUAACAGGUCUUCGGUUGCUGACGAGUGGCGGACGGGGGAGUAAUACAACGGAACGUGCCCGAUCGUGGGGGGUAACGGGGCGAAAGCUUUGCUAAUACCUCAUACGAUCUACGGAUGAAAGCGGGGGGUCUUCGGACCUCGCGCGGGCGGAGCGGCCGAUGGCAGAUUAGGUAGUUGGUGGGUUAAAAGCUUACCAAGCCGACGAUUUGUAGCGGGUCUGAGAGGAUGAUCAGCCACACUGGAACUGAGACACGGCCCAGACUCCUACGGGAGGCAGCAGUGGGGAAUUUUGCACAAUGGGCGAAAGCCUGACCCAGCCAUGCCGCGUGAAGGAUGAAGGCCUUCGGGUUGUAAACUGCUUUUGUACGGAACGAAAAGCUUCUUUCUAAUCAAGAGGGGUCAUGACGGUACCGUAAGAAUAAGCACCGGCUAACUACGUG
rnacentral:rRNA from 1 species